UACGGAGGAUGCGAGCGUUAUCCGGAUUUAUUGGGUUUAAAGGGUGCGUAGGCGGUCUGUUAAGUCAGCGGUAAAAUUGCGGGGCUCAACCCCGUCGAGCCGUUGAAACUGGCAGACUUGAGUUGGCGAGAAGUACGCGGAAUGCGCGGUGUAGCGGUGAAAUGCAUAGAUAUCGCGCAGAACUCCGAUUGCGAAGGCAGCGUACCGGCGCCACACUGACGCUGAGGCACGAAAGCGUGGGGAGCAAACAGG
rnacentral:rRNA from 1 species